GGCCGUGUGGCAAAAUGGUUACUGCGUUGCUUUCCGAUUUGUUGUUGACUCAGGUCUUGAACAUGGAUAGGCAGAGAUUGUGGGUUCGAUCCCCACCAUGGUCG